GCCCGAGCCGCCCGCGCCGCCCGCCGCCGCCGCCGCCACGUAAUGCGACACAAAUCGAAUGACUAAAGAUGGAGCAGAGAAGAGAAGAAACGACUCGACAUAUAUGUGAGAUUUUAUCUAUGAGGAAUUGUUUAAAUUAGAUAAAAUAUUGUGAUUAUCUGUCCUAAAAUGGCCUAAUUAUUUUUAGUGUAUUUAUUGGUAAAAAGCGAUUUCAACUGUGAUCGGUCUGAUUGUGUAUAGAAUGCUUAAAACAUGUUAGCUUACUGACACUUGGUUUGAGACUAUUGUAGUGUUUUGAAGCUAUAUUUUUUAUCACCACAUAACGAACUAAGCGAUGGGCGCUAGUGUGAAUUUAUUUAUAAAUAAAUUAUUUUUUUUAUAAAUAUCAGUUGUUACAAUGAAUCAAACAGAUGGUAGGUCAAAAAACCAAGUGAAAAAAAAAACGCAAAAUUGACUUCAAAUCGAAAUAAAUUGUUAAUAAUAAUUCCUAUCAGUAUUCGUACCGUUACUGUCUUACAUAUCAGCAUGUGACUUGCAUAGAUUCUUACAAUGAAAUAGCGAUGCAUAGUUUAUAACCGAUAUUCUUCUAGUUGUUGUGAUUUGCCAUUGAUGUCACUUUAUAACAAUUGUAAUUAUAAGUAGACUUCGAAAGCUAAAUCUUAAUACAUCGAAUUAGAAUUCUUUUGAAGUUGUAAGUAGUUGGCGAGUUGCUAUGAUUAGCGAUAGAGUUACGCGUAGCGCAUGCGGUCAAACCAAUUUUAUGACAUUUGUAUUCUAUACCUAUUUGAAAUAACCAAUGGUAAUUUUAAGAAGUGCAUUUUGAAUAAACAUAGAUCUUUCGCUGUUAUAAUAGUUUUGUGUAUUUCUAUCGAAUUUUUAGAGAUUUCGACAUUCUAUGUGAUAUUCGAAUUUUAAUUAAAUUGUCUUGUUAGAUAUUUACCAUAGUAAAUGUAAAAUGGGACAGUUUCAUUAAAUAAAUUCAGGAAAUUAAA